GCACCCGUAGCGCAGCCUGGUUAGCGCACCUCCCUGACACGGAGGGGGUCCCCAGUUCAAAUCUGGGCGGGUGCACCA
rnacentral:tRNA from 1 species